UACAGAGGUGGCAAGCGUUGUUCGGAAUUACUGGGCGUAAAGGGCGCGUAGGCGGCUUGGUCAGUCCCGUGUGAAAUCCCUCGGCUCAACUGAGGAACUGCACGGGAAACUGCCUGGCUUGAGUUCGGGAGAGGGAAGCGGAAUUCCGGGUGUAGCGGUGAAAUGCGUAGAUAUCCGGAGGAACACCGGUGGCGAAGGCGGCUUCCUGGACCGACACUGACGCUGAGGCGCGAAAGCUGGGGGAGCAAACCGG
rnacentral:rRNA from 1 species